GAAUAUCUGGAUUUCGGAGGCCUAGAGUAACGGAUACCCUUCAAGAGUUGACAUACAAGAGAAUGUUGUCCAACCGGUGAUCCGUCAAUACCUAGAUGUCCGGCCGAGAUGGCCGAUCUAUUAACAUUAAUAGUGCGGUAGGCCAAACCAGAUUCAAAAAGUGUAGUCAGAAAACUGAGCACCUCCUUCAGAGGGGCAGAAAGGGGAUCCAGCAGUCUUCCCAUGCACCAGCCAGACCACACACGCCAUGCAGAUUUGUAAGCUGUUCUGGUACCUGGUGCCCAGGCAUUCUCCAGGAGUCUUGUAGUAGCCUGCGGAACGUCCGAGACACACCAGGGUGGCUGACGGAUCC